AUAGGGGAGGCAGCAGUGGGGAAUUUUGCACAAUGGGCGCAAGCGUGAUACAGCCAUGCCGUGUGCGAGGAAGAAGGCCUUCGGGUUGUAAACCUCUUUUGUGGGAAAAAAAUAUUUGGGUUAAUACCCUGGGGAUUAUGACGGUACCAAAAGAAUAAGCCCCGGCUAAUUGCGUCCCCGCAGCCGCGGUAAUACAUAGGGCGCAAGCGUUUAUCGGAAUUUCUGGGCGUAAAGCGUGCGCAGGCGGUUUUAAAAGACAGAUGUGAAAUCCCCGGGCUCAACCUGGGAACUGCUUUUGAGACUGCAUGUCUAGAGUGGGGGAGAGGGGGGUGGAAUUCCGUGUGUAGCAGUGAAAUGUGUAGAUAUGGGGAGGAACACCGAUGGAGAAGGCAAUCCCCUGGCCCUACACUGACUCUCAUGCGACGAAAGCGUGGGGAGCAAACAGGAUUAGAUCCCCGGGUAGUCCACCCCCUAAACGAUGUCAACUGGUUGUGGGGUAGCUUCCAUCUCAGUAACGAAGCUAACGCGUGAAGUGACCGCCUGGAGACGC
rnacentral:rRNA from 1 species